UAAAGAGCCCUGUGGAGACA
rnacentral:miRNA from 2 species